UAUUCUGCUCACUCCGGGGGCUGAAACGGCCAGUAAUUCAAUUUGCAAUGAUUGUACAUCCGCUAAGAAAAGUCAGCCAAAACUUAAUACCAACAUCAAGAAAUCAACAUACAAGUGACAAUUGUUCAGAGGAUGGUGCUGGAGGGAAGGCUCAAAGGUGGGCAGGCCUCAAAGAAGUGGGAUAAUUUAAAGAAUAAGUACAAGUGCAUUGUAGAUCCCUCCAACUCAGCAGCAACAGAGGUAAAGCAGCCCCCCCUGGCCCUCCACCCCAGGCCCCAGGGAGAUCCCAGCAAACCCUCCCAAUCUACCCCAGUGCAGCACGACAAAGCAUCAGAUGAUGCAGACAGCCCCAGCACCUCAACCUCCAAGCACGGUGCCCACAUAAUGUACACCAUUACGG